GCCUGUUUGGCGCAGUGGUAGUCGCGUCUCACUUGUACUCUCCAGUUUCUACAAGGGAAAUGAGAAGGUCGCUCGUUCAAUCCGGGCAAUAGGCA